CACUCUGACCGCGACACCAGGUCAGGUAGGAUUACCCGCUGAGCAAAGGAAAAGAAACUUACAAGGAUUCCCUUAGUAAUGGCGACCGAACCGGGAAUAGCCCAACCUUAGUAUCGGGUAGCUCCGUUGUUCGAAUUCUAGUUUGGAGAAGCAUCCUCAGCGGCGGAUCAGGCCUUAGUCCUCUAUAAGGGGGCGCCAGAGAGAGAGAGAGCCCCAUUGUGCUCGGACCAUAUCGCACGACGAGGCACUAUCUACGAGCCGCGUUGUUUAGGAAUGCAGCCCAAAUCAUAUGGUGAAUUCCAUCCAAGGCUAAAUACGAGCGACAGACCGAUAGCGAACAAGUACCGUGAGGGAAAGAUAAAAGGACUUUGAAAAGAGAGUCAAAGAGUGCUUGAAAUUAUCGGCAGGGAAGCGGAUGGGAACCGUCAAUGUGCCCUGGUUCGAUGUGGAAUGGCGAUGAGCCAGUCUGCCGAUCGACUCGGGGUGUGGACCAGCGUCGAUUGGGGACGGCCAAAGCCUGGGAUCUCGAUACUCUCGUGGAACGCUGUUUCCUCGAUUGUGGUAGGCAGCGCAUGCCUCCAGCAUUGUUCGGCAUCUGUGCGCUAUAGAUGCUGGCCUGUGGGCUCUUCAUUCGACCUGUCUUAAAAAACGAACCAAUAAGUCUGACAUGUGUGCGAGUCAGCAGGCGAGUAAACCUGUAAGGCGUAAGGAAGCUAAUUGAUAGUUUCCCCUAGAGGGGUGCACCGGCGACCGACCUUGUUCUUCUGAGAAGGGUUCAAGUGUGAGCAUACUUAUUCGAACCCAAAAGAUGGUGAACUAUAUCUGAACGGGGCGAAACCAGAGAAAACUGUGGUGGAGGCCUACAGCAAUAAUAACGUGCAAAUCAUUCGUCUGACUUAGGUGUAGGUCCCACGGCUACUUUGUCGAGCCGUGCCACGGAAUCAAGAGCUCCAGGUGGGCCAUUUUUGGUAAGCGAAACUGGCGAUGAGGGAUGAACCAGAAGCCGGGCUACACUACCAAACUGCUCGCUAACCUAGAUCCCAAAAAGAGUGUUGGUUGAUUAAGACAGCAGGAUGGUGGUCGUAGAAGUAAAAAUCCGCUAAGGAGUAUGUAACAACUCACCUGCCAAAUAAAAUAGCCCCAAAAAUAGAUGGAGCUUAAGUGUGCCACCUACACCCGACCGUCGGGGAAAGUUCUAAGCCCCAAUAUGUAGGAGGGCGUGGCGGUCGCUGCAAAACCUUGGGUGCGAGCCUGGGUAGAACGGUUGUCAUUGCAGAUAUUGGUGGUAGUAGCAAAUAUUCAAAUGAGAACUUUGAAGGCCGAAGAGGGGAAAGGUUCUCUGUGAACGGCACUUGCACAUGGAUUAGUCGAUCCUAAGGUUUGGGAAACCCCAACAGAUGGCACAUUUCACGCGUACUCCAAAAGGGAAUCGGGUUAAAAUUCUUGGACCGAGAUGUGGCGGUUGAUGGCAACGUUAGGAAGUCUGGAUACGUCGGUGGGGGCCUCGGGAAGAGUUAUCUUUUUUGUUUAACCGCCUGCCAACCCUGGAAUCGGCUCAGCCAGAGGUAGGUACAGUGGCUGGAAGAGCACCGCACAUUGCGUGGUGUUCGGUGCACUACCGGCGGCCCUUGAAAAUCCAGAGGACCGAAUACCGCCCAAGCCCGUUCGUACUCAUAACCACAUCAGGUCUCCAAGGGGAACAGCCUCUGGUCGAUGGAACAAUGUAGGCAAGGGAAGUCGGAAAAAUGGAUUCGUAACUUCUGGAAAAUUAUUGGCACUGAGGGUUGGGCAUGGGGGUCCCAGUCCCAAACCCGUCGGCUGUUGGUGGACUACUCGAGCUGCUCCCGUAGUGAGAGCGGGUCACCGCGUACCAAUCGGGGGAUGGACUGGGAACGGUUCCUUCGGGGCCUUCCCGGCACGUCAAACAGCCAGCUCAGAAAUGGUACAGAAAAGGGGAAUCCGACUGUUUAAUUAAAACAAAGCAUUGUGAUGGUCCCAAUGGAUGUUCACGCAUUGUAAUUUCUGCCCAGUACUCUGAAUGUCAAAGUGAAGAAAUUCAACCAAGCGCGGGUAAACGACGGGAGUAAUAUGACUCUCUUAAGGUAGCCAAAUGUCUCGUCAUCUAAUUAGUGACACGCAUGAACGGAUUAACGAGAUUUCCACUAUCCCUAUCUACUAUCCAGCAAAUCCACAACCAAGGGAACGGGCUUGGCAGAAUCAGCUGGGAAAGAAGACCCUCUUGAGCUUGACUCUACUCCGACUUUGUGAAAUGACUUGAGAGGUGUAGUAUAAGUAGGAGACGAAAGGCAAAAGUGAAAUACCACUACUUUUAACGUUAUUUAACUUAUUCCGUGAAUCGGAAGAGAGGCACUGCCCCUCUUUUCUAACCCAAGGAUCUCUCUGCGGGCCGAUUAGGGUGGAAGACAUUGUCAGGUGGGGAGUUUUGCUGGGGCAGCAUAUCUGUUAAAAGAUAAUGCAGGUGUCCAAAGAUGAGCUCAACGAGAAUAGAAAUAUCCUGUGGAGCAGAAGGGUAAAAGCUCAUUUGAUUUUGAUUUCCAGUACGAAUACAAACCAUGAAAGCAUGGCCUAAUGAUUCUUUAGACCUUCGGAAUUCGAAGCUAGAGGUGUCAGAAAAGUGUUACCACCGGGAUAACUGGCCUUUUGCAGCCAAGCAUUCAUAGCGGCAUUGCUUUUUCAUCCUUCCAUGUCGGCUCUUCCUAUCAUUGUGAAGCAGAAUUCACCAAGUGUUGGACUGUUCACCCAACAAUAGGGAACAUGAGUUGGGUUUAGACCAUCGUGACACAGGUUAGUUUUACCCUACUUAUGACAGUGUCGCAGUAGUAAUUCAACCUAGUAGGAGAAGAAAUGUUGAUUCACAUAAUUUGUCAUCACCCCUGGUUGAAAAGCUAGUGCUGCAAAGCUACCGUGUGCUGGCUUAUGACAGAAUGCCUCUAGGUUAGAAUCCAAGCUAGAAGUGACGCAUGCACCCGCUGUCCGCUUGUCGACCAGUAGUAGAGGCCUCGUCCCCCAAGGGCACGUGUCAUUUGCUAAGCCACCACAGCGGAAGAGUCACGAUGACAGCUUUGAAGUAUAAUUUCCAUCGAGUGGCAGGUAGAAUCCUUUGCAGAUGACUUAAAUAUGCGACGAGGUAUUGUACAUGGAAGAGUG
rnacentral:rRNA from 1 species